AGUCGAGCGAACAGAUAAGGAGCUUGCUCCUUUGACGUUAGCGGCGGACGGGUGAGUAACACGUGGGUAACCUACCUAUAAGACUGGGAUAACUUCGGGAAACCGGAGCUAAUACCGGAUAACAUUUGGAACCGCAUGGUUCUAAAGUGAAAGAUGGUUUUGCUAUCACUUAUAGAUGGACCCGCGCCGUAUUAGCUAGUUGGUAAGGUAACGGCUUACCAAGGCAACGAUACGUAGCCGACCUGAGAGGGUGAUCGGCCACACUGGAACUGAGACACGGUCCAGACUCCUACGGGAGGCAGCAGUAGGGAAUCUUCCGCAAUGGGCGAAAGCCUGACGGAGCAACGCCGCGUGAGUGAUGAAGGGUUUCGGCUCGUAAAACUCUGUUAUUAGGGAAGAACAAAUGUGUAAGUAACUGUGCACAUCUUGACGGUACCUAAUCAGAAAGCCACGGCUAACUACGUGCCAGCAGCCGCGGUAAUACGUAGGUGGCAAGCGUUAUCCGGAAUUAUUGGGCGUAAAGCGCGCGUAGGCGGUUUCUUAAGUCUGAUGUGAAAGCCCACGGCUCAACCGUGGAGGGUCAUUGGAAACUGGGAAACUUGAGUGCAGAAGAGGAAAGUGGAAUUCCAUGUGUAGCGGUGAAAUGCGCAGAGAUAUGGAGGAACACCAGUGGGCGAAGGCGACUUUCUGGUCUGUAACUGACGCUGAUGUGCGAAAGCGUGGGGAUCAAACAGGAUUAGAUACCCUGGUAGUCCACGCCGUAAACGAUGAGUGCUAAGUGUUAGGGGGUUUCCGCCCCUUAGUGCUGCAGCUAACGCAUUAAGCACUCCGCCUGGGGAGUACGACCGCAAGGUUGAAACUCAAAGGAAUUGACGGGGACCCGCACAAGCGGUGGAGCAUGUGGUUUAAUUCGAAGCAACGCGAAGAACCUUACCAAAUCUUGACAUCCUUUGAAAACUCUAGAGAUAGAGCCUUCCCCUUCGGGGGACAAAGUGACAGGUGGUGCAUGGUUGUCGUCAGCUCGUGUCGUGAGAUGUUGGGUUAAGUCCCGCAACGAGCGCAACCCUUAAGCUUAGUUGCCAUCAUUAAGUUGGGCACUCUAGGUUGACUGCCGGUGACAAACCGGAGGAAGGUGGGGAUGACGUCAAAUCAUCAUGCCCCUUAUGAUUUGGGCUACACACGUGCUACAAUGGACAAUACAAAGGGCAGCUAAACCGCGAGGUCAUGCAAAUCCCAUAAAGUUGUUCUCAGUUCGGAUUGUAGUCUGCAACUCGACUACAUGAAGCUGGAAUCGCUAGUAAUCGUAGAUCAGCAUGCUACGGUGAAUACGUUCCCGGGUCUUGUACACACCGCCCGUCACACCACGAGAGUUUGUAACACCCGAAGCCGGUGGAGUAACCAUUU
rnacentral:rRNA from 1 species